UACGGAGGGUGCGAGCGUUGUCCGGAAUCACUGGGCGUAAAGGGCGCGUAGGCGGCAUGCCAAGCGUGUGGUGAAAGCCCGGGGCUCAACCCCGGGUCGGCCGUGCGGACUGGCGUGCUCGAGCACUGUAGGGGCGGGUGGAAUUCCGGGUGUAGCGGUGAAAUGCGUAGAGAUGUGGAGGAACACCGAUGGCGAAGGCAGCCUUCUGGGCCAAUACUGACGCUCAUGCACGAAAGCGUGGGGAGCAAACAGG
rnacentral:rRNA from 1 species